rnacentral:rRNA from 1 species
GGUGCAAGCGUUAAUCGGAAUUACUGGGCGUAAAGCGCACGCAGGCGGUCUGUCAAGUCGGAUGUGAAAUCCCCGGGCUCAACCUGGGAACUGCAUUCGAAACUGGCAGGCUAGAGUCUUGUAGAGGGGGGUAGAAUUCCAGGUGUAGCGGUGAAAUGCGUAGAGAUCUGGAGGAAUACCGGUGGCGAAGGCGGCCCCCUGGACAAAGACUGACGCUCAGGUGCGAAAGCGUGGGGAGCAAACAGGAUUAGAUACCCUGGUAGUCCACGCCGUAAACGAUGUCGAUUUGGAGGUUGUGCCCUUGAGGCGUGGCUUCCGGAGCUAACGCGUUAAAUCGACCGCCUGGGGAGUACGGCCGCAAGGUUAAAACUCAAAUGAAUUGACGGGGGCCCGCACAAGCGGUGGAGCAUGUGGUUUAAUUCGAUGCAACGCGAAGAACCUUACCUGGUCUUGACAUCCACAGAACUUUCCAGAGAUGGAUUGGUGCCUUCGGGAACUGUGAGACAGGUGCUGCAUGGCUGUCGUCAGCUCGUGUUGUGAAAUGUUGGGUUAAGUCCCGCAACGAGCGCAACCC